rnacentral:misc_RNA from 1 species
AAGAGUUGCAAAACUGCCCACAACCAUCGCGAACUUACCCAGACGUCGUGCUUCGGCGGGCUCGCCCGCCGGGGGACGCUACUACCAGCCCUUGCAGUUAUUUGGCCUCUCUGAGUAUGAUUUUUAGAACAAGUCA